GACGAUGUAUUAAAAAAACUUCAUUCAAAGAAAAAGUUCAAUUUAUCUUAUACCAAUUUUUUUUUUCAACUAUCUAAGAUUCUGAGUACCUUUUAACACUCAUAUUCAAAUUUUUCCAGGUCUUAUUUUUCUAUCCUCCAUAAAAAAGUGGCCUCUUAAAUGCCUGGAUCUUCUCUCUUUUUGCUUCCCUAGAAUAUUAAAGGAUAAUUUUUCGUACUGGUAAAGACAACAGAAGUUACUGCGGCACCGUUUAUAACAACUUCAUAUGGCAUCUCAAAAUGAAAGAACUAAGCAGUAAAUUUAUCUUGUAAUUGCCAUAUAUAAUAAUUUGAUAGCACAUUUAACUAGGGUAGUAAGCGAAUAUAUGGUAGCUAGAUUGUCUCUAUAAUUGACCUAUUAGAUCAUGUUUAGUAAGUUCAGAUAUUUACAUUCUUAGGUUUAAUCAUGUUUUGUCAAAAGAUAGAAUGGAUUUACCAAGAUUUGUGCUGGAUUUUUUUCAGUUUUAAGCGACUUCAACAGGGGAGUUGAAGUUCCACUAAAAGAUAGAUUAAAAACAUAUAAACAUUACCAAAUGGCUCAAAACCAUAGCAAAUUCUCCUUGUUAUUUAGUGGUUGAAAUGUUCAUAUUGAUUGACUUACUUAACUUGUGCUCCAUAUUCAUUACUCAACUGCACUGCAUGCAUCAUCAAAAACAUUUUUGUUCUGUUCUAACUUCUUUAUUUCUUUUGCUAACAGGAGAACAUGAUGUGAAGAAAAUAUGUUCUAUACAAAUAUAAGAUGGGAUGGGUCUUAUAAUGAUUUUGGUUAUCUAAAUGUAUUAUUUUGAUGUGUUCUUUACAUUUUGAUAAGAGACUUUAUCCGAUAUUACAUGUAAUGGAUAAAUGACACCCUAUUUUGAUUAGUGUUGUAAUGGAUAUCUACUUUUUUAUGAAA